rnacentral:rRNA from 1 species
UUCUUCGGAACUUGAGUAGAGAGGCGCACGGGUGAGUAACGCGUAAGUGAUCUACCCCUGUAUCUGGAAUAACUAUGGGAAACUGUAGCUAAUACCGGAUACGUUCAUGUGAUUGCGAUCAUGUGAAGAAAGAUGGCCUCUGACAUAAGCUAUCGUACAGGGAGGAGCUUGCGUACCAUUAGCUAGUUGGCAGGGUAAAGGCCUACCAAGGCGACGAUGGUUAGCGGGUCUGAGAGGAUGAUCCGCCACACUGGAACUGAAACACGGACCAGACUCCUACGGGAGGCAGCAGUGAGGAAUAUUGCGCAAUGGGGGCAACCCUGACGCAGCGACGCCGCGUGGAUGAUGAAGGCCUUCGGGUCGUAAAAUCCUGUCGGAUGGAAAGAAGUGUGAUGUGGUUAAUACCCAUGUCAUUUGACGGUACCAUCAGAGGAAGCACCGGCUAACUCCGUGCCAGCAGCCGCGGUAAUACGGAGGGUGCAAGCGUUGUUCGGAAUUACUGGGCGUAAAGCGCGCGUAGGCGGUUUGUUAAGUCAGAUGUGAAAGCCCCAGGCUUAACCUGGGACGUGCAUUUGAAACUGUCAGACUUGAGUAUUGGAGGGGGUGGUGGAAUUCCCGGUGUAGAGGUGAAAUUCGUAGAUAUCGGGAGGAAUACCGGGUGGCGAAAGCGACCACCUGGCCCAAAUACUGACGCUGAGUGCGAAAGCGUGGGGAGCAAACAGAUUAGAUACCCUGUAGUCCACGCGGUAAACGAUGAGAACUAGUGUUGGGACGGUGAUCGUCUCAU